GGGUAAAUGAAAAUGAUUUGUCAGGUGAUUAGGAGUAAUUUUAAUAGUUUAUCUUUUAUGAGAAGUUAAUAGUGAAAUCUGGAGUUCGGGUUGUAAAGGUUAAAUUUGAAUAAAAUAUUUUGAAGUUAUGAAAUUAAAGGUAUAAAAUAGGAUUAGAUACCCUAGUAUACUUUAUAGAAAACAUAGACACAGGGGGAGUAAUAGAUAUGGUCUUGAAAUCUAAAAAUUUUGGCGGUAUCUAAGUCUAGUUAGAGGAACCUGUUAUGUAAGCGAUAGUCCACGGAUAUCUAUCCUCGUUUUGUAAUUUUCAGUAUGUAUACCGCCAUUAUUAGGUAGUUUUAAGAGAUAUUUACUAUAAUAGGAUUAGUCUUAAUAUAUUAGGUCAAGGUGCAGCUAAUAGUGAGGGAUUAAAUGGGUUACAUUAAUAUUAAAUUAUACGGAAAGGAGUAAGGCAGUUUUUCUUAGAAGGUGGAUUUAAUUGUAAUAGAUGUAUAUUGUGCAUUUUUGAUAGAAGCUCUUAGAUAUGCACAUAUCGCCCGUCGUUCUCAUUAA
rnacentral:rRNA from 1 species